UCCAUGUCAGCCUGUCAAAAGGUAGUUGUAUUUGGUUGGUUAGUAUCAAAUUCAGCCUAUUCAGUACAACUUGUCUGAGGUAUUCUGAGAAAUGGGACGACCGUUGACCUAGGAAUUGAUGUGGCAGCCAGAUGAACAGACCCCAAGGCAAAGUCAACCUUGAAGACAGGUACCAAAGCACUUAUCUGACAGUCGGCUCACGUGACAAAAUACAGACAGAGAAAGGCAAAUCACAAAGUUGCCACAACGUCUAGAUCCCUGCACAAAAGAUAAGGCUGUCACCAUGGAGAUCAGUGAGCUGUCUGCCGUCCUCUCUCCCUGGAUAAGAGGACUUCACUAGUGGCCACUCUGUAUUUAUCUGUGACUGCCGAAGCUUCUGAGCUCAUAAGAAACUCUUAAUGCAACCUCUGACAAGUCCCUCCUUCCUCACUAACGAUGACAGAGGAAGUUCCCAGACAAUCAGCGACUGCAUCAGUCUUGGUAAGGGGGACCACACUGGAAGAGACAGGUGUUCAACUCUGUCUGCCAAAGCAUCGCAGCCACUGGUUCUGCCUGGCCAUGUACCGGCAACUCUUGUUUUUGCCGUUACUCCCGGCAACCCCAUCAAUGUCUCUAUUGCCUCUGUAAACCAUAGUAUUGUUGUUGAAGAAAUGGCGUUAUCUGUGCUCUAUUUAGAGAGUAUAUAUAACAAAAGCAUCAUUCAUUAUGGGAGUGUAAAUAUGUAGGGAUAAUAUUAGGGAUAAUAUUAACACAUGUAUCACUCAAGGAUGACCUAAAAGGUGUUUGAUGGGAAAAUCUUGAGAUGUCUCAACUUAAACUGUAUACGUUUUUUGUUACUCAAUUUGCAUUUAGAUUGCUGCAGAUAAACCACAAGUUUUCACUGGCAGCAAUGUUAGUUGUAUUGUGUCUUAUCUCACCCUAUAAUCACAGACACUUGAAUAUGGACACAUGCACACACAUGCAUGCAAACAUGCACACACACACACACAUGUACAGUACACACACACACAGACCAAAAAUGUAUCAUAUUAUGAUAUUUACGUACUGUCAUAAGAAAUAUUACUCAUGGCUGUAUUUCCAAGUCCAGUUACAAAUCACCACUGCAUACAUCACAUCCUAAACUACUCCACAAUAGACCUCCUAGGCUCCUAGAAGGGAUGGCAAAAAUAACCAGUGACCGUUUUUUCAGUUGCCUUCAGCUGUCAGAUCAAAUAUAGAAUUAUACCCUCAAUCUGGGAGGCAGCCGGGACCUCUUCUGCUCUGGAACAAGCUCUGGCUGCUUAGUCCGAUGAGUUGUUUCUCCUGGUAAAAGGACAUAUCCUAGUUUUGAUCUGAUCUCUGGGAUGCUGUCAAAAUGCCUGAUGACAGUUAUUUACAAAAAUAUAUACAGUACCAGUUAAAA